rnacentral:tRNA from 1 species
GGGUAUGUGGUUCAACAUGGGAGAGUAACGCAUUGGGGACAAAAGUAGACAACCAUAUCGAAAGUCCUCGGUGUAGCCUAUGGGAGUGCGGAGAUGCGGGUUCGAGUCUCGCCAUAUCCA